ensembl:snRNA U4 U4 spliceosomal RNA
AGCUUUGCACAGUGGCAGUAUCGUAGCCAAUGAGGUUUAUCCGAGGCGUGAUUAUUGCUAAUUGAAAACUUUUCCCAAGAAUCUAAGCUCUUGCAUCUAUGGAGAAAAACAUGGGAUUUAUUGGCUAAAGGGAAUCCUC